rnacentral:rRNA from 3 species
UACGGAGGGUGCAAGCGUUAUCCGGAUUUACUGGGUUUAAAGGGUGCGUAGGUGGGCAGGUAAGUCAGUGGUGAAAUCUUCAAGCUUAACUUGGAAACUGCCAUUGAUACUAUUUGUCUUGAAUAUCCUGGAGGUAAGCGGAAUAUGUCAUGUAGCGGUGAAAUGCUUAGAUAUGACAUAGAACACCCAUUGCGAAGGCAGCUUACUACGGGAUUAUUGACACUGAGGCACGAAAGCGUGGGGAUCAAACAGG